rnacentral:rRNA from 1 species
UGGGGAAUAUUGGACAAUGGGCGCAAGCCUGAUCCAGCCAUGCCGCGUGAGUGAUGAAGGCCCUAGGGUUGUAACGCUCUUUUGUGCGGGAAGAUAAUGACUGUACCGCAAGAAUAAGCCCCGGCUAACUUCGUGCCAGCAGCCGCGGUAAUACGAAGGGGGCUAGCGUUGCUCGGAAUCACUGGGCGUAAAGCGCACGUAGGCGGACUCUUAAGUCGGUGGUGAAAUCCUGGAGCUCAACUCCAGAACUGCCUUCGAUACUAGGAGUCUCGAGUUCGGGAGAGGUUAGUGGAAAUGCGAGUGUAGAGGUGAAAUUCGUAGAUAUUCGCAAGAACCCCAGUGGCGAAGACGGCUCGCAGGCCCGAUACAGACGCUGAGGUGCGAAAGCGUGGGGAGCAAACAGG